CCCUCUGUAAGGCCACCACACCACAACACAGUACAGACUGCACCAUCUAACCCUCUGUAAGGCCACCACACCACAACACAGUACAGACUGCAGCAUCUAACCCUCUGUAAGGCCACCACACCACAACACAGUACAGACUGCAGCAUCUAACCCUCUGUAAGGCCACCACACCACAACACAGUACAGACUGCAGCAUCUAACCCUCUGUAAGGCCACCACAACACAGUACAGACUGCAGCAUCUAACCCUCUGUAAGGCCACCACAACACAACACAGUACAGACUGCACCAUCUAACCCUCUGUAAGGCCACCACACCACAACACAGUACAGACUGCAGCAUCUAACCCUCUGUAAGGCCACCACAACACAGUACAGACUGCACCAUCUAACCCUCUGUAAGGCCACCACAACACAGUACAGACUGCACCAUCUAACCCUCUGUAAGGCCACCACAACACAACACAGUACAGACUGCAGCAUCUAACCCUCUGUAAGGCCACCACAACACAGUACAGACUGCAGCAUCUAACCCUCUGUAAGGCCACCACACCACAACACAGUACAGACUGCACCAUCUAACCCUCUGUAAGGCCACCACACCACAACACAGUACAGACUGCAGCAUCUAACCCUCUGUAAGGCCACCACAACACAGUACAGACUGCACCAUCUAACCCUCUGUAAGGCCA
rnacentral:lncRNA from 1 species